UUUCAUGCAAUCCAGGUGUUAAG
rnacentral:siRNA from 1 species